rnacentral:rRNA from 1 species
AUUGAACGCUGGCGGCAGGCCUAACACAUGCAAGUCGAGCGGAGCGGCGGACGGGUGAGUAAUGCCUAGGAAUCUGCCUGGUAGUGGGGGAUAACGUCCGGAAACGGGCGCUAAUACCGCAUACUAUCAGAUGAGACUAGGUCGGUUUAGCUAGUGGGGGGGGUAAAGGCCUACAAAGGCGACGAUCCGAAACUGGUCUGAGAGGAGGAUCAGUAACACUGGAACUGAGAAACGGUCCUGACUCCUACGGAAGGAGGCAGUGGGGAAUAUUGGACAAUGGAGGAAAGCCUGAUCCGGCCAGGCCGGUUAGGGGAAGAGGGUCUUCGGAUUUUAAAGCACGUUAAGUUGGGAGGCGUUACCAACAAAAUAAGCACCGGCUAACUUCGUGCCAGCGGCCGCGGUAAUAC